ensembl:lncRNA
AUGUGACGGAGAAGGCAAUGGCAACCCACUCCAGCACUCUUGCCUGGAAAAUCCCAUGGACGGAGGGGCCUGGUGGGCUGCAGUCCAUGGAGUCGCUAGGAGUCGGACAUGACUGAGUGACUUCACUUUAUUUUUUCACUUUCAUGCAUUGGAGAAGGAAAUGGCAACCCACUCCAGUGUUCUUGCCUGGAGAAUCCCAGGGACGGGGGAGCCUGGUGGGCUGCCGUCUAUGGGGUCGCACAGAGUCGGACACGACUGAAGCGACUUAGCAGCAGCAGCAGCAGCAAGACCUACAUGAAGCAGGCACUGGUCAGGCAGGGAAUGUACAGAGAGCAAGAGCUCCACCAUGUUGAGUGGCUUGACCAUACAGAGAGUUUGCAAAGCAGCAGCAAUGAACAAAGGAGAUGGAGCAGAGAGCAGCAUCUCCUGGGAUUAGCUGGUUUUGCGAAAGGAGAGAAUGAGCACCUUCCCCACCAACGCACUCACUGCUCUGCAAAGAACUAACCCCCGUGGCUCCUAAAGGCGCUUAUGGAUAGGAGCAGCGUUGGGCAGACGCGAAAGGAAAUUCAGUGUUGACAGUUUCCGGAUUCUGCUCCCAAAGCUGACAUGUCUACUGUCACAUCAAAAGACAAAUCCGAUUUCAAUGCAGGAUUUUCAUUCAAAAGUCUUCCAGUGCUACUCAUGCCACGCUCGGAUAAAGGAGGGUUUGUGGGGUGGUCACUGGGAACACACCCAGACACACGAUGUAUCCAGAAUCACUCUUCACUAAGAACAUCUCUAGCUAAUUGUAGGGUUCCAUCCUGUCGUCUACACCUGUGCGCUCUGAGCAGUCAGAAAUCGCUCCGGACUGUCCUAAGUAAAAAUGCGUACCUUCCUCCCUUCCUCUCGCCCUCGGAAAAAUGCUUCACUCCAUGGGGAACAGCUAAGAAUUGUGGUUGCUGCUGCUGCUGCUGCUGCUAAGUCGCUUCAGUCGUGAGCGACCCCAGAGACGGCAGCCCACCAGGCUCCCUGCUCCCUGGGAUUGUGGUUAAGAUCAGCUAAAAAAAAUGUUUUUUAAUAGUCUUUUUUCCCCUUUUAUUUCCUUUUUAAUCCCCAUUCCCCACUCUCAUGACCUUCUUCCCCACAGGAGGCUCUUCUAAUAUAUUUAAUGUGUGUAGCUUCAUAUGUACGCAUUUUUGUAAACAUGCACUGUUUAGAAGAUUUUUCUUAAACAGAUACAGAACAAUUUUUUUACUAUGUAUUCGGCUGCACUGAGUCUUAGUCGUGUCGUGCGGGGCCUCAGCUGUGGCAGGCACACUCUUCACUGCGGUGUGCAGGCUUCUUUACUUG